rnacentral:lncRNA from 1 species
GAAAUCCAAAAUGCUCUAAAGUGCAAAACUUUUUGGGCAUCAACAUGACUUUUAAAAGAAAUGCUCAUUGGAGCAUUUUGAAUUUCAAAUUUUCAGAUUAGUGAUGCUCAGCUAGUAAUAUUACUGUAAAUAUUCCAAAAUCUGAAAAAGUCUGAAACAUCUCUGGUCUCAAGCAUUUCAGAUAAGGGACACUCGAUCUACCAACAAAGGAGAGAGCCCCUUGAAGAGGGCACUCUGAAUCACUCUUCUGGUGAAGAUCUCUGGGAGUUACAUGCAAGCGGUGGGCCUGGGCCCAUUUCCACAUCCCACAAAGAGUGCAUUUACUUUGUGUAUCCAGAAGAGCAAAACUCCCAACUCUACUGCUUUGUUUUCAAACGGACAGCCAAGCAUUCGAUGUCUUCAGCUUCACUCUCUACUUUGUGCUUGGGUUCCAUUUCUGGUUCAUAUAGUCAAGGUUUAUUGAGCACAAUAUGAUGGUGUAGGCAUCUUUGGAGAUAUGCUAUCUGCAGGUUCAGCUUUGGAGAUUCAGAAGUGACAUGCACAUGCCUCUGACACUCUCAUGGAGUUCACAGUUGGAGAUAGAAUUAUCUGCCAAAGAGUGACCUCACAGUACUCAGAGGCACAACACUCUGGAGAGGAUGUCCUAAUGCAAUAAAGAAUUUUCAGAGAGCAAGUGACUGCUACAAUUCCAUGGGUAGAGAGGGCAAGAGAGGCUGCUUGUUAAUGCCAAACAGGAAAGUCAUCAAAAUUCUUUCUCUUCUGCCCUCCAGGGAAACAGCCCACUGCUAACCACCAAGUUUUGCAAGAUAUUCUUUUGUUUCUUGAAAAUUUAUUAUUCCCCCCAUCAGCAGCUCUAGCUGAAGUAAUCUCAAUUCUCUUAACCUUUCUUUAGAAGGUCUAUUUAAUCCAUUUUUAUUGCUCUCCUCUGAGCACUCACUAAGUUUGUUAGACUUUAUUCAAUCUUGAAUUGGACAAAGUACUUUAAUAAGGGUUGCCUCCCACUGCUCCAGGAACAGGCAAAGGUAAUGUCCUGAUGGGGCACUGGCAUAGGAUAUUGCAUGUGGAAGCACUUUUGGAACUCUUAAGCAGCCCCCAAAUGGAGCAGAUGAUGAUUAGACUGCACAUCUCAGACUGAGCUCCUCAUUCCCAAAAAGAAUGAAAAAGAAAUGAUUGUACCAUUUAUUCAUGUGUACCUUCAACAAAAAUGUAUUGUGCAAUCACUUUGUGCAAGAUACUGUACUAGGCACUUAGGAUAUAAUGAUAAAUAAGAUAUGGCCUCUAUUCAGUAGAAUAUAAAGGCAUUGGUAUACCCCCCCCAAAAAAAAUUUUUGAUUGUAGACCCAGAAAUAUUCCAGAUGUUUUUGCAUAUAUCAUGUCAUUCAAGCUUGUCAUAUAACAAGCCCAUUUGGAAGGUAUUUUUAUUCCUAGUACACAGAAGAAGAAACUGAAGCACACCUAUCUAGAGUUGUGCUAAAGAAAAACAAACAUAAAUUUAUUUAGCCAAAUUGGAGUUUUACUGCUCUGCCUUAUGUCUUCCUACCUGCUUGUAGGAUGACACCUGUGCCUAAAGCAUCUUCAAGCUACUUCCCACAGUGAAGGGCAUCCCCAACCCACAUUUCUCCACACUGUAGGGCAGGUCAGGGUUCCUCCCGCACCAUCCACUGAAAAAAGUUCUGGAACAGCUAAAUCUCUGCUUUCAACAUUCUGCUAACACUGCUGAUCUUCUUGCAGGUUAGGAAAUCCAGUGCCCUAAAGAAAUACAGACUUAGGCUAAAGAGCUGGAUCUCUGGCUUACACAGAUGUUCCUGAAACGUUGAGCAUGUUGUCUAACCUCUCUGUGUCUCAUUGUCCCCAUUUGUAAAAUUGAGACAAUUGUACCUA